AGCGCACGCUUACGCAGCUUUUUACCAGAUGGCGGUACUAAAAUACUCGUAUGUUUGCCAUGCAUCUCGUCGACAACAGCAACAACAACUAAAAUAAUAAUAAUAAAAGAGAGAAAAAUUUCCAAACUUUUUUUUACCGUUUCUUGCCCGAGUUCGUCGUGUUAUUUUCAUUGUAAAUUCAUCGUCGAAUAGUCGUCAUGGACGAGCAAAUCGAAUGAAAAUCAUCGUGCGCGAUUCGAAUCGCGAAUUUUCUUUUUUGUGUCUAUAUUUUGCUGUUGUUUUUUUUUUGUUUUUUUGUUUUUAUUAAAUUGUGCGCGUUGAUGGUGUCGCUUUACUUCGAUUUUGAGUUUUCUUUAUUUAAAUAUCUACCGAUUCCUUUGUCGUUUAAUUUCUCGUUGUUGUGUUCACUGGAUGCGACAUUAAUGUUACUCGCGAGUACUCGAUAAUCGAACGCCUAUUUACUUACUACACCUUAGCUGGAGUGCAAAAAUCGCCAAAAUGAGCACCGUCGAAGAAGUGUACGAAGGUGAAAUCACCAGAACAGUCACCAGAAGGACUAGUUUCAAAAUAAAAGAGACAUCAUCCAAGAAAACUACCACUACGAUGACAACGCCGGCCAAAUUAGUCAGCACGAAUUCGACCGAUAUGAAAAAAUACGAAGACAUGGACGUGGAUCAGCUACUAGCCCAGCUGUCUCCCGAAGAAAUUCAAAUCCUAGCUAAAGAAGUCGACCCCGAUGAUAGUUUAUUACCUCCUUCGCAAAGAUGCAGCUACGAAUGUUCCAAAGAACCAACCGGACCUUUGAAUAGGAAGAAAUUAAUCGAACACAUAAACAAACAAGCGUUAGAAACGCCAGACAGACCCGAAGCGAAACCUUACGUAGCCGGUACCGUAAGAGGCAAAAAGUGGGUGCCUCCUCAAAAUGCUAAUCAAAAAGGAGAAAAUGAAAAAAUUGCAAUUGAUCUCGACGACGAAUACGAAGUUGCUUUGAAUAAUGCGUCGCAAGAGGAAAUUAUUGACCUUGCUGCAAUAUUAGGAUUCCAUUCGAUGAUGAAUCAAGACCAGUAUCACGCUUCUUUAUUAAAUAAAGGUCAGCCAGUCGGCUUAGGCUGGGAUGGUAUUACGAAAGCCACGCAGCCGAAAGCUUUCCCGCCGGAACCGCCCAAUAAUACCGAUCCUGACGAAUCGAUAAGACGAGUAAAAGAUGACGAUCAUCAGCUAACCGAUUUAAAUUGGAAUAAUAUAAAAAAUAUUUCGGACGAAAAGUUCGAACAGUUAUUUGCCGCUUUGCCUGGUAAUACGCAUUUAGAAACGUUAAGCCUCAGCAAUACCGGCCUUACGGACCGAACAGCCACCAAAUUGGCCGAUGCUUUGGAGAAAAAUAAUACGCUAAAAGUUGUCAACGUUGAAACAAAUUUUAUCAGCCCUGUUAUAAUUGUUCGUUUGGUCAAAGCAUUGCUCAAACAGAAAGUUAUCGAAGAAUUCAGAGCGUCUAAUCAGAGAUCGCAAGUGCUGGGUAAUAAAAUUGAAAUGGAAAUCACGAAAUUGGUGGAGCAAAAUCCGACGAUACUGAGGUUGGGUUUACAUUUGGAAUACAAUGACGCGCGACACCGAAUCUCAGCCCACCUGCAACGUAAUCUCGAUAGAAUAAGGAAAGACGUACCAUUACGGAGUAGAUUCAGAUUUUUCAAAAUGGUUCCACCGGUUAAAAAAAUUUUCGGAAAAAAAUUUACCUAGAUCCUAUCGCCUUUCGCCUUCGUUACAUAAUUACUACGCCAAAGUCGUAUCGGAUUGUCGUCUUAAUUCGUCCAUCCAACGAAUAGGUCGUUCGCGUCGUAUGGGUCAUUUUGCGCGACAGUUCACUGGCGGUUGGGUUAUUCGUCAUCAUUUUGCCAAAUAGUUAACGGAUUUUUAUGCACCAGCGAGUAUUUUUUAGCCAUACUAUCGCAUAAGACAUUAUAAUGUUUAAUGUAUUACCUAUGAGACAAACGUCAAACGUUUUCUUUAUACCUAUACGGUUCUUUUUUUUUCUUCUUAUUUUUUUUUUCCAAGUAGAGUCUGUUAUUAAUGAAAAAUAUUUUUUCCUUCAUUUUUGUUGUACAUUUUUAAUCAAAAUGCGAAUCGUUUGCACAUUUUAUUUAUACGUACCUAUUUAUUGUAUUUUAUCAUUUUGCCCUUCUUAUUAAUAUCGAUAUAAUUACGCUAACAUCGAGCAUGCUGGCGGCAAGUAAACAAUAGUUGAUGUCCAAUUAAAAGCGAUCACCUUUUGUUUAAACUUUAAUGAUACCUACCUAUUUUAGCUUUAUUAAAUAUAAUUUUUUUCAUUUCUUUUUUGAA